rnacentral:rRNA from 1 species
GAUCCUGGCUCAGGAUGAACGUUGGCGGCGUGCCUAACACAUGCAAGUCGAACGGAAAUAGCAAUAUUUGAGUGGCGCACGGGUGAGUAACACGUAGCUAAUCUACCUCAAAGCGCGGGAUAACGUGUCGAAAGACAGGCUAAUACCGCAUAAGCUCCCGAUCUGUAGAGGGUUGGGAGAAAAGGCGCAAGUCACUUUGAGAUGAGGCUGCGGCCCAUCAGCUAGUUGGUGCGGUAACGGCGUACCAAGGCGACGACGGGUAGGGGACCUGAGAGGGUGACCCCCCACACUGGGACUGAGACACGGCCCAGACUCCUACGGGAGGCAGCAGUGAGGAAUAUUGCACAAUGGGCGAAAGCCUGAUGCAGCGACGCCGCGUGGGUGAAGAAGGUUUUCGGAUCGUAAAAACCCUUUUCUGUGUGACGAGCAAGGACGGUAGCACAGGAAUAAGUCUCGGCUAACUAUGUGCCAGCAGCCGCGGUAAAAACGUGGAGACAAACGUUAUCCGGAGUUACUGGGCGUAAAAGGGCG